CAGCGCUCCCGCCCUGACGCCGUGGCCGCCAUGUUGCCGCCUCAUGAGGCACCGCCUCAGCCCGGCCCCAGGGCGGGCCAGCCAUCUCCAAGAGACAGGGACCCCCAUCAUGUGGAGCAGUGACUUGGAAAGACAAAUGCUGAUGUUCCCACCUUCAUCCUUCUUCCCUCCACUUUUUCCCAGGCAUGGUCUGGAGUAUCCCUUUGAGUUAUGAUAUUUUAUAAGACAUUCCUGGAAUCUUGUCUGCAUCAUGAAAUUAGUCAUCCUCGAAAUUAAGGGGAAUCCUGAGGCUUCUGGCCAGCAGCUGAAUUAGUUCAGCCCACCAAGGAUGCAUUUGAGUUUGCAUUGUAAUAAA